GCGGGCGUGGUGGAAUUGGUAGACGCGCUGGACUCAAAAUCCAGUUCCGAAAGGAGUGCCGGUUCGACCCCGGCCGCCCGCA
rfam:Caulobacterales bacterium RIFCSPHIGHO2_12_FTLL_68_13 rifcsphigho2_12_scaffold_18495, whole genome shotgun sequence.